rnacentral:rRNA from 1 species
UACAGAGGGUGCGAGCGUUGUUCGGAAUUAGCUGGGCGUAAAGCGCGCGCAGGCGGCCUUUAAGUCUGACGGUGAAAUGCCGGGGCUCAAGCCCCGUCGCCGCCGCGGAUCUGGGAGGCUGGAGACGAUGUAGGAGGCAAGCGGAAUUCCGGGUGUAGCGGUGGAAUGGCGUAGAGAUCCGGAAGAACGACCGGAGGCGCAAGGCGGCCUGGAGCUGGGCAUUGCUGGACGCUG